UACAGAGGUCUCAAGCGUUGUUCGGAUUCAUUGGGCGUAAAGGGUGUGUAGGUGGCGCCGUAAGUCGGGUGUGAAAUUUCGGAGCUUAACUCCGAAACUGCAUUCGAUACUGCGGUGCUUGAGGACUGGAGAGGAUACUGGAAUUCAUGGUGUAGCAGUGAAAUGCGUAGAGAUCAUGAGGAAGACCAGUGGCGAAGGCGGGUCUCUGGACAGUUCCUGACACUGAGACACGAAGGCCAGGGGAGCAAACGGG
rnacentral:rRNA from 1 species